rnacentral:rRNA from 1 species
UACGAAGGGGGCUAGCGUUGUUCGGAUUUACUGGGCGUAAAGCGCACGUAGGCGGAUUGGUCAGUUAGGGGUGAAAUCCUGGAGCUCAACUCCAGAACUGCCUUUAAUACUGCCAGUCUCGAGUCCGGAAGAGGUAAGUGGAACUCCUAGUGUAGAGGUGGAAUUCGUAGAUAUUAGGAAGAACACCAGUGGCGAAGGCGGCUUACUGGUCCGGGUACUGACGCUGAGGUGCGAAAGCGUGGGGAGCAACAGG